UUGUUCUAAUGCUUUCAUCUGAGGCGACAGAGUCCUGUCCAAGUAAUUUCAUAUUUUCAAAUGUGGUCCAGUAGUGUAUCUUUAAGGACAGAAAGUACCUUUCUUACCCUCUCUCUUUUUAUGGAAGUAUAGUCUGUUUCUCCCAUAGGGAGUUAACAGGUUGCAUCACGUGUACCAAGAAUCUUGCCUUUGGAAGAUGAAUGCUCAGAGGUUCCCUCCCUGGGCCACUCUGUCACUUCUUCAGAGGAAGGUGCAUUAAGUUCGCCUCUAGUCACCAAAGACUAUAAAUCCUGAGAAUUCACGCUCCCAGGAACGUGUGCACUGGUAGCUACUAUCUACAUGCCUCUUGACACGUAGUGUAGUGACUCUAUUCCAAGGCUGGUGGCAAUUUGCUGAAGGUGCCCAUGAUUGAGUGACAUUACCUGGAUUACCAUGCUAUGGUGGAGACAAUCGACUGUGCACACGAGCAAGGGAGGUACGACCAGCCUUUCUGAUUGGCUGCUCACUAAUUAUUCAAGUUGGGGAAGAACCACCAAGAUGUGCCAAGCGAGAUCACAAGACUUAGCUACAAUGAGACCAGGAGGAGUGGCUUCAUCCAUGGCCAUUCUAGACUAGCACUGCAAGAUUCAAGGUGUGAUGAAGGCAGGAGGAGAGGUGUCUGGACAAUGGAGGGCUGGUGACAGCAGGCUUGUGUAACCCAGUGAGGACCAAGAUCCUAACCCUAACACAGGAAAUUAUUGGGGAGGAAGUACCUCUAAACCAUUGUAGCAUGUGAGGAGUCUGCUUCUGGCUUGGAAUAUUGCCCUGUCUGGUUUCAGGAAGCCAGUUGACUGAUCAGUUUUGAUAAUCAUUGAAGCAUCUUCAAAAACAAU